GUAUUUCCGAUGCAGGGAAGGAUGAGAAGCUUCGACUAAGGUUCGAUUCGAGCGUAGCGAGAAAGCGUUGCCGCAGGCAACGACCCGAAGGGCGAGGCGCAACGCGCCGAGUAAUCCUUCCCCCACCACCA
rnacentral:sRNA from 1 species